CACGUAGGGUGCGAGCGUUGUCCGGAAUUAUUGGGCGUAAAGAGCUCGUAGGCGGUCUGUCGCGUCGAUCGUGAAAACUUGGGGCUUAACCCUGAGCUUGCGGUCGAUACGGGCAUGACUGGAGUUCGGCAGGGGAGACUGGAAUUCCUGGUGUAGCGGUGAAAUGCGCAGAUAUCAGGAGGAACACCGGUGGCGAAGGCGGGUCUCUGGACAGUUCCUGACGCUGAGGCACGAAGGCCAGGGGAGCAAACGGG
rnacentral:rRNA from 1 species